UAGAGUUUGAUCCUGGCUCAGAUUGAACGCUGGCGGCAGGCUUAACACAUGCAAGUCGAACGGUAACAUUUCUAGCUUGCUAGAAGAUGACGAGUGGCGGACGGGUGAGUAAUGCUUGGGAACAUGCCAAGUGGUGGGGGACAACAGUUGGAAACGACUGCUAAUACCGCAUAAUCUCUUUCUUUUAUAAGGAGGAGCAAAGCGGGGGACCUUCGGGCCUCGCGCCAUUUGAGUGGCCCAAGUGGGAUUAGCUAGUUGGUAAGGUAACGGCUUACCAAGGCGACGAUCCCUAGCUGGUCUUAGAGGAUGACCAGCCACACUGGAACUGAGACACGGUCCAGACUCCUACGGGAGGCAGCAGCGGGGAAUAUUGCACAAUGGAGGAAACUCUGAUGCAGCCAUGCCGCGUGUGUGAAGAAGGCUUUCGGGUUGUAAAGCACUUUCAGCGAGGAGGAAAGGUUAUUGCUUAAUAGGUAAUAUCUGUGACGUUACUCGCAGAAGAAGCACCGGCUAACUCCGUGCCAGCAGCCGCGGUAAUACGGAGGGUGCGAGCGUUAAUCGGAAUUACUGGGCGUAAAGCGCGCGUAGGUGGUUAAUUAAGUCAGAUGUGAAAGCCCAGGGCUCAACCUUGGAACUGCAUUUGAAACUGAUUGACUAGAGUUUUGUAGAGGGUGGUAGAAUUUCAGGUGUAGCGGUGAAAUGCGUAGAGAUCUGAAGGAAUACCAGUGGCGAAGGCGGCCACCUGGACAAAGACUGACACUGAGGCGCGAAGGCGUGGGUAGCAAACGGGAUUAGAUACCCCGGUAGUCCACGCAGUAAACGAUGUCUAUUAGAAGUUUGUGGCUAUAUGCCGUGGGUUUCAAAGCUAACGCAUUAAAUAGACCGCCUGGGGAGUACGGCCGCAAGGUUAAAACUCAAAUGAAUUGACGGGGGCCCGCACAAGCGGUGGAGCAUGUGGUUUAAUUCGAUGCAACGCGAAGAACCUUACCAUCCCUUGACAUCCAGAGAAUCACCUAGAGAUAGAAGAGUGCCUUCGGGAGCUCUGAGACAGGUGCUGCAUGGCUGUCGUCAGCUCGUGUUGUGAAAUGUUGGGUUAAGUCCCGCAACGAGCGCAACCCUUAUCCUUAGUUGCCAGCACGUAAAGGUGGGAACUUUAGGGAGACUGCCGGUGAUAAACCGGAGGAAGGUGGGGACGACGUCAAGUCAUCAUGGCCCUUACGGGAUGGGCUACACACGUGCUACAAUGGCAGAUACAAAGGGAAGCUAACCUGCGAAGGUAUGCGGAUCUCAUAAAGUUUGUCGUAGUCCGGAUCGGAGUCUGCAACUCGACUCCGUGAAGUUGGAAUCGCUAGUAAUCGUGGAUCAGAAUGCCACGGUGAAUACGUUUCCGGGCCUUGUACACACCGCCCGUCACACCAUGGGAGUGGGCUGCACCAGAAGUCAUUAGCUUAACCUUUUAGGAGGAUGGCGAUGACCACGGUGUGGUUCAUGACUGGGGUGAAGUCGUAACAAGGUAACCG
rnacentral:rRNA from 1 species